AACGAACGCUGGCGGCAUGCCUAACACAUGCAAGUCGAACGAGACCUUCGGGUCUAGUGGCGCACGGGUGCGUAACGCGUGGGAACCUGCCCUUAGGUUCGGAAUAACUCCCCGAAGGGGUGCUAAUACCGGGUAAUGUCUUCGGACCAAAGAUUUAUCGCCUUUGGAUGGGCCCGCGUUGGAUUAGCUAGUUGGUAGGGUAAAAGCCUACCAAGGCGACGAUCCAUAGCUGGUCUGAGAGGAUGAUCAGCCACACUGGGACUGAGACACGGCCCAGACUCCUACGGGAGGCAGCAGUGGGGAAUAUUGGACAAUGGGCGAAAGCCUGAUCCAGCAAUGCCGCGUGAGUGAUGAAGGCCUUAGGGUUGUAAAGCUCUUUUACCCGGGAUGAUAAUGACAGUACCGGGAGAAUAAGCUCCGGCUAACUCCGUG
rnacentral:rRNA from 1 species